ACCAGGCCUGUACUGGCAGCACAACAGCAAGUGUGUAGACCAGCAGAGAAUGGUGUUCACUCGCAGACACCAGACACAACAGCCAUACUGCGGCUACCAGUGGCAAGGACACCACAUUCAGCCAUAACAGUGUCCUAAACAAACACUGGAAUGUGUGACAGUACCUGAGAUUCCCGUAGCCAGCAACAUGAUCCUUGAGUGUGAAAGCAGCCCGCAGUGAGAAUAUGAGCACAGCCAGGUUGACAAACACGACCAUAGUACCAGGACCGAGAAGACUCCAGAUCACCGACUCGUACAAAGACAGCCAGCAACUGUACCCACAUGACUUGACAUCUGAAAUCUGGAGUGAUGUUCGUCUGAAUGGAUCCAAAAAUAGUCAGUGACAAAGAACGAAGAGCUCAAAAGAAACCCUCUCGCAUCGUUUCGCCAUCUUAAACACCAAGACUACAAAUAGUAGUGCAAUCUAGGUGAAGAGGUAUUCUCAUUGUCUCAAUUAUUGUGCACCUUAAUUGUCAUCAUCUUUUACCUAAUCAGCAUGAUAGAUCUAUAAAAACUACAGCAAGAAUCAUAAUUUCUCUGAUAUAAAUAUAGGCCUGGUAUAAGUCAAACGUAAUUUCACAUUCAGUGUCAGUUUGAACCUAAAUACUCGAAUAUUCAGAUCCAGUUCGAUAAUCAGGAACUAGAAAAUAUUUUUUAUGUAAAAUUAUAUAAUUUAAUUCUCUUUGUUUUCAAUUAAUUUUUCCACAAGCCUAGUUGUCAAAGGUAACACACACAUCAUCCAUAUAUGAUAAUUUAAAAAAAGAUGAAAUGAUUUAUAAAUGAAAUAUUUUUUGAUAAAAACAAGUUAUUUAAAUUUGCAAACUCCAAGCUCAUUGCAGAAAUGAGCUAAUAGACACUGACCUCAU